rnacentral:rRNA from 1 species
AACAAACGCUGGCGGCGUGCCUAACACAUGCAAGUCGUACGAGAAAGGGUCCUUCGGGGCCUGAGUAAAGUGGCGCACGGGUGAGUAACGCGUGGAUGAUCUACCCUUCAGUUGGGAAUAACUCAUCGAAAGGUGGGCUAAUACCGAAUAACACUGUGAGACCUUGGUCGAUCAGUCAAAGAGAGCCUCUGCUUGCAUGCCCUCGCUGAAGGAUGAGUCCGCGUACCAUUAGCUAGUUGGUAGGGUAAUGGCCUACCAAGGCGACGAUGGUUAGCUGGUCUGAGAGGAUGAUCAGCCACACUGGAACUGAGACACGGUCCAGACUCCUACGGGAGGCAGCAGUGAGGAAUCUUGCGCAAUGGGGGCAACCCUGACGCAGCAACGCCGCGUGAGUGAGGAAGGUCUUCGGAUCGUAAAGCUCUGUCGGAUGGAAAGAACCGCAUGGGGGUAAAUAGCCCUCAUGUCUGACGGUACCAUCAGAGGAAGCACCGGCUAACUCCGUGCCAGCCGCCGCCGUAA